AUUUAGGGGAUAGCAUUAGAAUUAUUGAUAUGUGUUCACCAUAUUAUCAAUGAACUGUCUAGCAGGACAAUCUCUGGUUUUCCAUAGGUUGGAACAAGUCUUGAUUCAAUCAAUUGAUGUUUUAGUUUCUGCACUAUUAGUAAAAAGUAGAAGUCAUAAUUAUUUGUGCUUGCAGAUGUUGGGCACCUCUUGCCCCAGCUCGUCAUGUAGGUGCUUUUAUGUUUUCAUAUACAAGUUUUUCUUGUAAAGAAACUAGCAAAUAUAUUAUGUUUGAACCCGUGGUUCAUUCUCUUGACAUGCUAUACAGAAUGGUUCAUUUGUACUUACCACUUGAAAGACAAACAAGAUUGACAAAAUGGU
rnacentral:misc_RNA from 1 species